GCCCGGGUGGUGAAAUUGGUAGACGCAGCGGACUUAAAAUCCGCCGACCUCACGGUCGUACGGGUUCAAGUCCCGUCCUGGGCACCA
rnacentral:tRNA from 2 species